GAUGAACGCUGGCGGCGUGCCUAAUACAUGCAAGUCGAGCGAACAGACGAGGAGCUUGCUCCUCUGACGUUAGCGGCGGACGGGUGAGUAACACGUGGAUAACCUACCUAUAAGACUGGGAUAACUUCGGGAAACCGGAGCUAAUACCGGAUAAUAUAUUGAACCGCAUGGUUCAAUAGUGAAAGACGGUUUUGCUGUCACUUAUAGAUGGAUCCGCGCCACAUUAGCUAGUUGGUAAGGUAACGGCUUACCAAGGCAACGAUGCGUAGCCGACCUGAGAGGGUGAUCGGCCACACUGGAACUGAGACACGGUCCAGACUCCUACGGGAGGCAGCAGUAGGGAAUCUUCCGCAAUGGGCGAAAGCUUGACGGGGCAACGCCGCGUGAGUGAUGAAGGUCUUCGGAUCGUAAAACUCUGUUAUUAGGGAAGAACAAAUGUGUAAGUAACUAUGCACGUCUUGACGGUACCUAAUCAGAAAGCCACGGCUAACUACGUG
rnacentral:rRNA from 1 species